rnacentral:tmRNA from 1 species
GGGGAUGAUCGGUUUCGACAGCGGCUGUCGAAACAGGGGAAGCGAGCCGAGGAAGCGGCAAUGAUCUCGUAAACCAUAUGUCGCAAAAAAUAAUACGCCAAUACCAAGCGCGAUUCCUCCGCCUUUGCCCUUGCUGCCUGAUUAGCAGCUAGCGAAGACUCCGCGGAGUGUCAGCCCGGGGCUGUUCCCGACCCGGAUCCUGGCAUCAGCUAGGGGACUAAACCUCUCACCCCGGUCACGGGGGUAAGAGGGAAAACAAACAGUGACUGAGCCCGUCGGAGACUUGUCCGCGUGAUCUCCGGGGCUGAGAAAAUCGCAGCGGACUGCGCUCGGAGAAGCCCUUUUUCCGCACCGUUGGACGCGGGUUCGAUUCCCGCCAUCUCCACUC